UGUUCGAAUAGUGUAGUGGUUAUCACGUAUCGUUCACAUUUUGUGAGCCCAAAUCCGAUAAGGUCCCAGGUUCGAAACCUGGUUCGGUAU